ACAUGCAAGUCGAGCGCUACCUUCGGGUGGAGCGGCGGACGGGUUAGUAACGCGUGGGAACGUACCCAGAUCUAAGGAAUAGCCACUGGAAACGGUGAGUAAUACCUUAUACGCCCUUCGGGGGAAAGAUUUAUCGGAUUUGGAUCGGCCCGCGUUAGAUUAGAUAGUUGGUGGGGUAAUGGCCUACCAAGUCUACGAUCUAUAGCUGGUUUUAGAGGAUGAUCAGCAACACUGGGACUGAGACACGGCCCAGACUCCUACGGGAGGCAGCAGUGGGGAAUCUUGGACAAUGGGCGCAAGCCUGAUCCAGCCAUGCCGCGUGAGUGAUGAAGGCCUUAGGGUCGUAAAGCUCUUUCGCCAGAGAUGAUAAUGACAGUAUCUGGUAAAGAAACCCCGGCUAACUCCGUGCCAGCAGCCGCGGUAAUACGGAGGGGGUUAGCGUUGUUCGGAAUUACUGGGCGUAAAGCGUACGUAGGCGGAUUAGUCAGUCAGAGGUGAAAUCCCAGGGCUCAACCCUGGAACUGCCUUUGAUACUGCUAGUCUUGAGUUCGAGAGAGGUGAGUGGAAUUCCAAGUGUAGAGGUGAAAUUCGUAGAUAUUUGGAGGAACACCAGUGGCGAAGGCGGCUCACUGGCUCGAUACUGACGCUGAGGUACGAAAGUGUGGGGAGCAAACAGGAUUAGAUACCCUGGUAGUCCACACCGUAAACGAUGAAUGCCAGUCGUCGGGCAGUAUACUGUUCGGUGACACACCUAACGGAUUAAGCAUUCCGCCUGGGGAGUAC
rnacentral:rRNA from 1 species